rnacentral:lncRNA from 1 species
GAUGGUCUAGGCCUACUGUAUUUACAUCACAAGCAGCAAAAUCAGAGGAUUCAUUUGUUAUUAUCUUCCAAUUUGUAGGCAGUUUAUCGACAAACAUGUGCACGAUGUGCGUUCCCGGAAUUCCCUGUCUUGUUGUUCCACUUGUUUUGUGGAUAUUUCACAGGUUUAUCCAACCCUUUGGAUACCCACUUUUGCCAGAAAGGGUCAAGUCAUGGUUCAAUUUUAACAUGAGAAUUUACGGAGUGACGCCUCCAAAAGGUGAAGUCACACAGAGUCAAAGUGAAAAGGACCAGGAGGGUGAAAAUGUUCAAGAAUCCACGUCGACGACAAGAAAUUGCUGCCCUUUCAAACCAACUGAAGUUCAAGCUACAACAGCCGGCGGUGGUGAUAAAAAGACUGACUAGCACCAGUUCCUCGGGACAGCUGGUUUUGUUCCUAACCUCUGUGAACUUGAUGUUGGAUGAAUCAUAGAACAUGCCUGAAGAAUAAGGUCCUGUGGACUGCACUAACACAUCACUAAGCUAACUUAGUGUUUAAAACUUGACUGUAAAGAGCUGCAAUAUUAUUGAAAGAAUUCAGGAUGGAUUUGUGAAUUUUAUUAAAUUUUCUAUCGAUAGAUAUAUAGUUACAUGUAAGAAAUGGAAAGGAAUUUGAAUUUAUUGUCAGUUAUUAUACCCGAGUAUGUUUUCUCAUUGCUUUGAUCUUUUAAUUACUCAUUCUGCAGGGCUUCAAACCACCUUUUUUGGAAGUUAUAUUGAUUGAAUAACGAUAGUUCUUUUAAAGAAAUCCAAACGGUAUGAAUGGAAACUGGAAAGUACCGGUAACAGAUUCUUAGAAUUUUAGAUCUGCAGACCCUUGCACAGAGUAUAUAUGCCAAUAAUCAUCUAUGACACUCACAUGGAUGGAAGUCUGUAUUAUUAUUUUUUUUAAUAACACUUUAUUAAUAAGAGGAAAUUAGAGUCUUAAGAUAAUUUUGUUUCUUAAUUGGUCAUUAUCAUUGGUACAUUCCAAGCAGUAACAAUGAAAUAUUCUUUCAAAAUCUUCAGUCGUUAACUCUUCAUGAAUCUUUUCACAUGCAUUAUGAAAUCUAUCAUCAAGAAAGGAUUUGUAUAUAAUCAAAUCAACUCCAUUCAGAAUUUGUUUUUAAAUUUUGUGAAUAGUUUGUAUGGCAUAAAUAUUUUAUUAUGCUCUAUUCCUUAGUACAGGUAUGUCUUUAAAUCACUUAAUCAUUUCCCCACUCAUUACUUUCUCUAUUCUCUUUGUCUGAAUAAUAUUGGAAGUCCUUUUUUAUAGGUCCAUCUUUUAAAAAAAAAUUCUUUUGUAUGUCUUCAGAUGGUUUACAAUCGUCUAUAUCUUAAAACUCAUCAUUCUUAUUUGUUCUCUCUGACCCCUCUGUUCUGUGUGAGUCCCAACACUUCUCUUUCUCUUAUUUUGUAUGUCUGUGACUAUUUGUAUUUGUCAUUACUGUUGUUAUCUAUCACAAAUUGCUGUUGAUAUGCUCAUACUCACAUGUACCUUUUAGAUUAAGAGGUGUGUUACAUUAUGAAAUAUUUUUAUUUUCUUUCUUUUCUUCAAAAUAUUUCUCAUACAGGGUGAAUAUCACACCUUCCUUUAUCUGUUUAGAUCUGAAAUAACAUCCUUUUACAAAUCAAAAAAAGAUCCAAAAUUUAAGACUAUAUUUUUAAAGACCUUUUGAAGAUGGAGCUUUCUUUUAAUAAUUUACAAGAUCAUCUGACUUUAAAAAUGUAUGACUUUUUUUAGAAAUGGACAUUUGGGGAUAACACAUUUGAUAAAUAGAUACUGGUUAUUGUCAUUGAAGUAAAUGCUCUCUUCAUUUUGUAAUAGUACAAUAAUAUGAACAUUUACUUUUAUGUUUUGCUUGAAAAAAAAAAAAAACACAAAGUGAGUUGACCUAAAAGGGAAUUAUCAUACCAUGAUUAGCGUCAUCAAUGUGCCUUGUAUAUUACAAGCAAAUUUCGGCAUAUCAAUAUUAUGAUUCCUAUAUGUACAAGUAGGCCUACAAGAAAAUUGUAGUUUACAUCAGUGUAAAGGCAAGUUGAAGAAUUUUAAAGUUUCAUUUCAUAAUCAUCUUAUUUGUACGAGAAGCCUUCUUACAGUUUUGGUUGAAAACUUAUACAAUAAUAUUCCAGCAGCAGGAUAAAUAUGUUAUAGAUAAAUAUAAACGCAUUUCAUUCCUAUAUCAUUCAAAAAUAAAAUAAAUAGUCCAUCAAAAUUUGGUGUUUGAUUAAAGAUGUGGGAUAGGAAAUUUGGAUUGUCCUUAUGUUUCAUUUUAUAGGUGACAACUAUUUAUGGAAGAAAUUUUGCUUAAAGUUAGCACCUGUAUCAUAAUUAUUUAUAAUUAUUGUAAUCAUUUGCAACAAAGAGCAUGUUCCCUUAGUAUUCAAUGAUACAUGUAUGUUUUACUCUAGGUUAGCUGCGGAUGAUUUUAAGGUUGUCAGGAGGAGACAAAUUUUUACCUAUCAUUGAGAAAAAGAAAAGUGGUGUACCGGUACAUGUAAUUAGAAUUCUUGAUGUGAUACAACUAGGUAAAUUUAUCAAUUUUACUGAAAAUAUGUAUAUUUAUACCUAUCCAUAUAUAUAUGUUGGUGUUGUCAUGGAAUGUGCUGGUUGAAUAAAAAGUAUUUAUCUUUAUCAAAA